GGGGGCGGCGGCGGGCGGCUCCAGUCACGCCGGGAACCAUGGAAAGGAGCCGGGACGGGAGACGCUUCUGGAGCCUGGACCUCCAGUCUCGUGGUAAGGAAGGGGAGACAGCCCUGCUGCCCCACAGCUGAACAUCCCAGACGGGUUAUAAGCAAGGAUCACUCGAGCAGACAGAAAACAGCCGUCCCCACAUCGCACGCUCUGGCUGACAGCUCAGGACGGGAAGCGAUCUCCUCUUACAAACUACAGGAGCCCGUUUACACAGGGCAAACACUUCCCGUUCCAGAGAGACCAGAGCGAACGGCAGCAGCUCAGAGCCUCCACUUCCCUCCUGGCUCUGCAAACCUUCCAGACCUGCUGCGGGAAGAACUCCGCACCGCUGGGCACCACGGCCUCCCACAGCACCCUGCACAGCCAGAAACUGCUCGGCUGCACGGCUGUGGGUGCUGGAGCCUGAGCACGUGUGUGGGAUGGUCCAGAGCUCUCACAGGACAGCUGAGAUUUGUCCCACUCCAUCAUUUGAUCUGUGUCUAGGAGCUGAGCAGUCCUGGGUGAAGAUGUGGAAGGCUCUGAUGAAACACAGAGUAAGAGUGGAAAUACUGGAGGCAAACCUUCGGUUUUCGGUGCCUAGAACAUGUGCCUCAUCAUUCUCUUCCCCAAGUUAGCGCAGAUCAGACUCUCCCGAGGCACAGUGAGCUUUGCAGUGAGCUUUGGUGGCUGCAGUCUCCUCCUAAUCCAGGCUUGUUUCUGGGAAAAUAGGCAAUUUUAUAUCCCUUUGAUGUGGGUCUUACCUGCUAAUGAUGCUAGGAAGUAAAAACAAAUGGGCAUAGAAAUACACAAUUAUGAAGAAUUAAAAUAGUGAAUUUAAUUCAGCCAAUUCCAACAAAACUGUUAAUUCCUUGAAAAACAAACCUUGCACAGAAAACAGAACAGGAAUGGUUUCAUCUUGACAGCUGGUGAGAACUGGUGAAAAGGUGAAUGGAAUAUUUCUGACUUCUCUGGAAAACACAAGGUUUCCCACAUCUGGAAAAUGCCCUAUUUUUUACUAAAUGGGUCGGUUUGGGAGGCAGUGAUUGUAAAUGCUCUGCAAGGAAAGCACAGGUCUGUGCUCUGAACUGCAGAUGCCAAAUGUCUGGUUUUCAGAAAGCACUGAUGCCUCCCUAAAGGAAAAGCUGGGACUUCUAAAAAUGAUAGAAACAUGGAACGGUCUGGGCUGGAAGGGAAACUCAAAGCUCAACUCACUCUAAGCCCCCACCAAGAGCAGGGACACGUUCCAAUAGACUAGCCCAGAAACGUGCAGAACAGCAACAAGAAAUGUAUUAUUUUUCAGAAUGCUAAGCCUGGCUUGCUCAGUGGUCCUGAUCUGGGCUCUGGGGCGAUGCAGAGCCUGACGAAAGGACGCGAGGCUGCGGCUGUCGCCGGGCGCGUGGCUGGAAAGCCUGGCUCGGCUCCUCAGCACUGAAAUACUCUUUCCAAAGCAAUACCAAAAAAGGUUUGUUUCUAGGUCAGGACCUCAGCACUCAAUUUUAACCAGGGGCUGACAGUCCAAUCUGAACACAGCUGUAAAAUGGAUUCACGGGAGAAGCUUUGGCAUUCCUUUUGUAAUUAGAAAACAGGCACUGAGGCGUGUGCCUUUAAAGGUGAAAGCUAUUUUUGACAUAAAAAUUAGCACGUAGUUCCUCUGUCAUCCCUCGGCUGCUGCGCUGGGAGCUGUGAGUGAACAACCCAAAGAUAAGCAAGAAGUAUAAACAUGCUGAAUUAUACAAAUACGUAGAAGGGGAUCAGGUUUAAUUUGUUUUAUUCUGUGACAGUUAGGAGACAAGGAGAUUUAUUCUUACACUUUUUCUCCUAAAAAGCACUGGUUCAAAGGUCCACUUAAGCACUGAAACCCCAAUGGCAUUAAAAAACUUGAAGAGCUUUUAAUAGCUACGUUUUGAAAUUACUGUUAAAUCUAUUUUUGAGAUGGAUAAACUAAGCUACCAAUGAAGCAGGGCAGGAGUUUUUUUGGAAGGGCCCAGCUGUGAGAAACUGUCAUUCAUUUCUCAACAACUCAGCUCCUGUACAGGGACUCUGAGAUAAAACCUACCACAGUGCUUGAUGCUUUAAAAACCUGAGCGUUCUUGAAAUUCCAAUUUUCUCUCUUUGGUGGGAAUCUAACCCCGACAGCCUUGAAAAUGAACCCCAGGCAGUUUUCAGGAUAUGGCUCAGAGUGGCUGUUUCUAAAAUAAAAGUGAGGGAAGAGCGAGCAGAACUUGGAGGCUUAUCAGCACCCGGAAUGCCCCAGCUAAUCCCCAGCAGCCCCGGCCCCUUUAUGUAACCUGGGAUUGCUGCAGCUCAACAGCUUACUGGGGUCUGGGCGGUUUUCUUUAUACCUCUUGUGGACAAAUGCAAACACAUUAAAUACUUCUUUCUUCUGCCUCUCUAAGGAAAAAACUGUUGUAAGAGGGUGAAAAAAAUGUUUUAUUUGUAUCAAUGGCUAAUAGAAUUAAACUUGUAUGCUGC
rnacentral:lncRNA from 1 species